rnacentral:lncRNA from 1 species
GGGGAUGCAAAUGGAUUUUGCUGUAGGUCCCUGCAUACUUGAGGCCUUCUGGAGGUGGGGAAUGAAAAUGGCAUCUCUAAGCCUUGAAGCAGAGAUCUCUAUCAUGUCAAGAUCCUUCCCUAUGAAGUUCAGGUUUGAUGACUGGAAGUUUCUCUGUAAUUGGUGAAGAUAUGAUAUCCAUGUUAAAGUCAUUCUGAGGAACAGAAUGGGGUUGGAAUCAUGUAAAAAUUAUCCACUGCUACCUUUCCAGUUAAAUAAAGUGGAGAUCAUCUAUUACUGUCAAACAGAGUUAUUUUAGAAGUAAUCGUUUCAGUAGAGUGAGGAGGAUAAACGUCUUUUUGUCACUACCUUGGCAGAUAUUUAAGCUCUCCACACCCCUGCAGUGGCAUUUUCUUGGGAUUAUAGCCAAGCCUUGUCUUCAGGGGACACAGAGACUCCUGCUACACCACAGUCACAGCCCAGAGAAAAGUGACAGCAAACUCAAUGCUGUUCUCAGCUUAUCUGCCAAGACUGAUGUAAUGCUGAAGAAGCUGAAGUUCAAUGACAGAAGCAGAAAGGAAAAAUUGUUUCCUAUCUAAAAUCAAAUAAAUGAAGUAUGAAACUACCCACUCAUCUUGACUUUCAUGAAGAAGAUCAGCACACACAAAAAAAGCUGUAAUUCUUAUGUUCGCACAAAAAAUUACAGAGACCAUGACCUUACAGCACUUGCCUUUGCUCAUUGCUUGCCCUGUGCUCAACACAUUGCUGAGGGCCCUUCUUGCAGUUUGUGCAGCAUGGCAGGGAAGGUACAGCAGCUCCCAUGUCAACUGGGGAGAAGUAAAAUGUAAUGACAGCUCUGAUGAAACUGCAGUAGCAAAUGGCCGCUUGAACUGCCUCAAAGCUUGCGUGAAGAGAACAGCUCUGAAGAUCCACAGCUUCACGUGCAACUUCUUUGUUGUCAGACCAACAUGAUGUGACAUUUAUAAGGAAUCUUCUGGGAACUGGGGG